ACAAUACUCUCUCCGUCCAACAAAGAAUGUCUCAACUUUAACCAAAUUUGAAUGCAUCUAUACACUAAGUCAUGUCUAGAUACAUCCAAAUUUUGACAAACUUGAGACAUCUUUUGUUGAACGGAGGGAGUAUGUC
rnacentral:pre_miRNA from 1 species